CUACUUCUCGUUUCCUGCAGAAUCUCUGUCUUGGGCUUGCCAGAGCAUAGCUUCUUACCACUUUUGUCGGAAUCCAUCCCAUCCAGCCCCACCUUCCUUCAUUCAGACAACAUGUAUAAUAGACAGGUUUUGUUUCCAGAAGGCCACUGAUAAAAUGCUCGCUCCCAAGGACAUCCCAGAGAAUGGUUUGAAUACAGAAGGUAUAGGUGGCGAAAAAAGACACUGCUUCAUAAGGAGCUGUGUGACUUCCUGAACACUGUCUUUUCCAAGAAGGAGUGACCCUAACUUCAGGACAGCAGCUCCCAAGGGGCAGGUGGACAGAAGAUAUUUGAAGUCACAUUAAAGAAGUGAUCCCCCCAGACUCAAUAAAGAAAACAUAUUAUCCUAUCGCUGACUCCAUCACAUCAGAUAAAGGCAAUCUCCCUACAACCUCAAGUAUUCCUCUGGAAAUAACAUGGAUUGUUUACUCCACCAGAGAGCCACCUGUAUUGGUCUGUCAAUCCUAUUUUAGAGAUAAUGAGUGUACAGAGACAGGAACCUAAAGCAGGGUGUGUUGACAUAAUUAGGUGGUAACUCCCAAAGUUCUUUUAGGGAUAAGAGAGAAAUAGGUAUCUCUUGCUCUGUACGGAAAUUCCUUUUUAGUUGGUUUCCUACUAGUUGCCUAGUUUGUGUCUUCCCUGCUGUUCAGUGGUUAUUUAAUUUAGGGUUAACAGAGGAUCUUUGCCUGGGACGUGGGCUUCAGCAUUUCUGGAAAAGAGGCUCUGCAAUUGAUCUGAGUAGAUACGUAUUAAACAUUCUGCAAAACAGACUAACUCCAAGAUCCAUUUCAAUAGCUACUAACCUCCUGGGAAAUGCCCAGCACUACUAGAUUUUCUUCUUCUACUGGGAGUCCCUAAUACAGGGCACUAGGAUAUUGCUGCCUUUCCCCAAGAGCAAGAAAGUAAGAAGAUGCCAUGACCUCAGAGUCCCAGCCGUGCUCGCUCAAGUCGGUUUCUGAGGAAAUGUCUGGGGGCAUAUGUCCAGCAACAAAAUACAUGCCCUGUCUGUUGGGCUUUGACUUCACAGGCUUUUCCUCAAGAUAACAUUCAGGCUCUUUCACCUCUCCUUGCCUCUGCAUGGUCUGUUGCCUCUGCAUGGUCUGUUGCCUCUGCCUGGAUCUCUCUCACACUCACCCCUGUUUUCAUUUGGCAGUUUUGUCCCCAUAAUUUAAUACUCAGCUCAGGUAUUCCCCCCCCCCCCCCAGUCCUCCACGUAUGAAGCCUUUGUUGCGCGAUCCCCCUCUCCAGCCUGGGUUAGGGAUGCUUUCAUGAGUUUCCAUAGUAAUUUUGGAUUGCUGCCAUAAUGUGGGACAUGACCUAUGUAUGUAUGGUUAAUCUCUUUAUCACACCAGCAGUGGUUUUAAAUUUUGAUUGCAUGUUAGAAUGAUUCAAGAGAUUUUUAAAUUCUUGAUGCCCUCCCUAUACUCCAGAUGGAUGAAAUCAGGGUCUCUAGGGGGUGGGACCUAGGAU